rnacentral:rRNA from 1 species
AAGUCUGACGGAGCAACGCCGCGUGAACGAUGAAGGCUUUCGGGUCGUAAAGUUCUGUUGUCAGGGAAGAACAAGUACCGGAGUAACUGCCGGUACCUUGACGGUACCUGRCCAGAAAGCCACGGCUAACUACGUGCCAGCAGCCGCGGUAAUACGUAGGUGGCAAGCGUUGUCCGGAAUUAUUGGGCGUAAAGCGCGCGCAGGCGGUUCCUUAAGUCUGAUGUGAAAGCCCCCGGCUCAACCGGGGAGGGUCAUUGGAAACUGGGGAACUUGAGUGCAGAAGAGGAGAGCGGAAUUCCACGUGUAGCGGUGAAAUGCGUAGAGAUGUGGAGGAACACCAGUGGCGAAGGCGGCUCUCUGGUCUGUAACUGACGCUGAGGCGCGAAAGCGUGGGGAGCGAACAGGAUUAGAUACCCUGGUAGUCCACGCCGUAAACGAUGAGUGCUAAGUGUUAGAGGGUUUCCGCCCUUUAGUGCUGCAGCAAACGCAUUAAGCACUCCGCCUGGG